CUGCAGGCUGGCUGAAAAUUGCAGGAUUGCAGAGAUACAGCCCUGCCCUGAUGCUUAUUCUCUCCCUGAAAUCCUCAGUGACUUCAGCAGUUCAGGGCUGGCCCAGAAACUCCAGCAUCUCUGGGAUCCUUCAGGAUGAAAGGCUCUCCACGUGGGUGUCAUUCCCAUGGGAUUCACAAGCAGAAAACCAGCAGCUGGAAGAUUCCCCCUCAUCCCAUGGGCAAGGCCUGGAAUGGAGGGAUCACUUCUUCCUGUGGAGCAGAGGUGAAUAUUCCUUGCAAAACAAAUGUAGCUCUUCAAACAAAACCCCCCAAAUACUGUCUUUUGUUAACUAAAAAGCGCUGAAAAACACUUCUGUGCUCAGCAACAAUGAGCUAAAAAGAUUUGAAGAGGUUGGGAAACGAACAAUUUCAACGCUUUCUCAUCCUUUUAGAUGAAGCCAAUCGUAACAAAAAUAAAAAGAAAUGGUAAUGAAUGGUAAGUUAUUCA
rnacentral:lncRNA from 1 species